AUAAAAUCCCGUUGAUCCUGCGGGAGGUUGCUGCUAUUUGGAUUCGACUAAGCCAUGCAAGUCAAGGGUUCUUCGGAAUACCGGCAAACUGCUCAGUAACACGUCGAUAAUCUGCCCUUAGGUCAGGAAUAACCUCUGGAAACUGAGGCUAAAACCUGAUAUGGGAAUUCUACUGGAAGGUGUUUUCUCUUAAAAGCAAUGCCUAAGGAUGAGUUGGCGGUCGAUUAGGUUGUUGGUGAGGCAACGGCUCACCAAGCCUAUGAUCGAUAGGGGCCUUGAGAGAGGUAACCCCGAGAAGGGCACUGAGAUACUGGCCCUAGCCCUACGGGGUGCAGCAGGCGCGGAACCUUUACAAUGCACGAAAGUGUGAUAAGGGAAUCCAAAGUGCUUUGCUUUUAGCAAGGCUUUUGCCAAGAGUAAAUAUUUUGGCGAAUAAGUGGUGGGUAAGACUUGUGCCAGCCGCCGCGGUAACACCAGCGCCACAAGUGGCAAUCACUUUUAUUGGGCCUAAAGCGUCCGUAGCCGGUCUAGUAAAUUUCCUGUGAAAUCGUUAGGCUUAACUUAACGGUAUGCAGGAGAGACUACUAGACUUGGGACCGGGAGGCGUCAGAGGUAUUUCUGAGGGAGCGGUAAAAUGCUAUAAUCUCAGAAGGACCCCCUGUGGCGAAGGCGUCUGACGAGAACGGAUCCAACGGUGAGGGACGAAAGCUAGGGGAGCGAACCGGAUUAGAUACCCGAGUAGUCCUAGCUGUAAACACUGCGAACUAGGUGUUGCAUAUUCUUCGGGAAUGUGCAGUAUCGAAGCGAAGGUGCUAAGUUCGCCGCCUGGGAAGUAUGGUUGCAAGACUGAAACUUAAAGGAAUUGGCGGGGGAGCACUACAAGGGGUGCAGCGUGCGGUUUAAUCUAAUUCAACACAGAGAAUCUCACCAGAAGCGAUGGCAGGAUGAAGGUCAGGUUAAAGGCCUUACCUAACAGGCCAAGAGGUAGUGCAUGGCCGUCGUCAGCUCGUGCCGUAAGGUGUCCUGUUAAGUCAGGCAACGAGCGAGACCUAUACUUACAAUUGCCAUCAAGCUUAGCGAUUGGGCACAUUGUGAGAACUGCCCUUGAAAAGGGGAGGAAGGUGUAGGCUACGGUAGGUCUGUAUGCUCCGAAUCUUCUGGGCUACACGCGCGC
rnacentral:rRNA from 1 species